rnacentral:rRNA from 1 species
GAUGAACGCUGGCGGCGUGCUUAACACAUGCAAGUCGAACGGAGUGCCUUUGAAAGAGGAUUCGUCCAAUUGAUAAGGUUACCUAGUGGCGGACGGGUGAGUAACGCGUGAGGAACCUGCCUUGGAGUGGGGAAUAACACAGUGAAAAUUGUGCUAAUACCGCAUAAUGCAGUUGGGUCGCAUGACUCUGACUGCCAAAGAUUUAUCGCUCUGAGAUGGCCUCGCGUCUGAUUAGCUAGAUGGUGAGGUAACGGCCCACCAUGGCGACGAUCGGUAGCCGGACUGAGAGGUUGACCGGCCACAUUGGGACUGAGACACGGGCCCAGACUCCUACGGGAGGCAGCAGUGAGGGAUAUUGGGCAAGUGGGGAAACCCUGACCCAGCGACGCCGCGUGAGGGAGACGGUC